rnacentral:rRNA from 1 species
UAGCAAUACCUUAGUAAAGCGGCGCACGGGUGAGUAACACGUGGAUAACCUGCCUCGAAGUGGGGAAUAACCCCGGGAAACCGGAGCUAAUACCGCAUAACCUGACAAUUUCUGUGGAUUUUGUCAGUAAAGGAGCAAUUCGCUUUGAGAGGGGUCCGCGGCUGAUUAGCUAGUUGGUGAGGUAAUGGCUCACCAAGGCCACGAUCAGUAGCCGGUCUGAGAGGACGGUCGGCCACACUGGAACUGAGACACGGUCCAGACUCCUACGGGAGGCAGCAGUGGGGAAUUUUUCGCAAUGGGGGCAACCCUGACGAAGCAACGCCGCGUGGGUGAUGAAGUAUUUCGGUACGUAAAACCCUUUCGACGGGGACGAAACCGCAAGGUUGACGGUACCCGUAGAAGAAGCCCCGGCUAACUCCGUGCCAGCAGCCGCGGUAAUACGGGGGGGGCAAGCGUUGUUCGGAAUUACUGGGCGUAAAGGGCGCGUAGGCGGCUCGCUAAGUUGGAUGUGAAAACUCUGGGCUUAACCCAGAGCCUGCAUCCAAAACUGGCAAGCUUGAGUACUGGAGGGGAAAGCGGAAUUCCUGGUGUAGCGGUGAAAUGCGUAGAUAUCAGGAGGAACACCGGUGGCGAAGGCGGCUUUCUGGACAGUAACUGACGCUGAGGCGCGAAAGCUAGGGGAGCAAACAGGAUUAGAUACCCUGGUAGUCCUAGCCCUAAACGAUGGAUACUUGGUGUGAGGGGGGAUUGAAUCCCUUCGUGCCGUAGCUAACGCAAUAAGUAUCCCGCCUGGGGAGUACGGUCGCAAGGCUG